rnacentral:ncRNA from 1 species
ACUAGAUAUACAACACGGGAAACCUCACCCGGCCCGGACACGGACAGGAUUGACAGAUUGAGAGCUCUUUCUCGAUUCCGUGGGUGGUGGUGCAUGGCCGUUCUUAGUUGGUGGAGCAAUUUGUCUGGUUAAUUCCGAUAACAAACGAGACUCUGGCAGGCUAACUAGUUACGCGACACCCGAGCGGUCGGCGUCCAACUUCUUAGAGGGACAAGUGGCGUUCAGCCACCCGAGAUUGAGCAAUAACAGGUCUGUGAUGCCCUUAGAUGUCCGGGGCC